rnacentral:rRNA from 1 species
GAGUUUGAUCCUGGCUCAGGAUAAACGCUGGCGGCGCACAUAAGACAUGCAAGUCGAACGAACGAGAGUGAAUCUUUUAGUUUUGCUCAAGUUAGUGGCGGACUGGUGAGUAACGCGUGAGCAACCUGCCUACGAGAGGGGAAUAACAGUUAGAAAUGACUGCUAAUACCGCAUAAGCUGAAAGAAUCGCAUGAUUAAGUCAGAAAAGGAGCAAUCCGCUUGUAGAUGGGCUCGCGUCCGAUUAGCUAGUUGGUGAGGUAAAGGCUUACCAAGGCGACGAUCGGUAGCCGGACUGAGAGGUUGAACGGCCACAUUGGGACUGAGAUACGGCCCAGACUCCUACGGGGGGCAGCAGUCGGGAAUAUUGCGCAAUGGAGGAAACUCUGACGCAGUGACGCCGCGUAUAGGAAGAAGUUUUUCGGAAUGUAAACUAUUGUCGUUAGGGAAGAGAAAGGACGGUACCUAAGGAGGAAGCCCCGGCUAACUAUGUGCCAGCAGCCGCGGUAAUACAUAGGGGGCGAGCGUUAUCCGGAAUUAUUGGGUGUAAAGGGUGCGUAGACGGGAAAUUAAGUUAGUUGUGAAAUACCUUGGCUCAACUAAGGAACUGCAACUAA